GAAAUGCGAUAAUUAAUGUGAAUUGCAGAAUUCAGUGAAUCAUCGAGUCUUUGAACGCACAUUGCGCCCCCUGGUAUUCCGGGGGGCAUGCCUGUCCGAGCGUCAUUGCUGCCCUCAAGCAAGGCUUGUGUGUUGGGCUUCCGUCCCUGGCAACGGGGACGGGCCCAAAAGGCAGUGGCGGCACCAUGUCUGGUCCUCGAGCGUAUGGGGCUUUGUCACCCGCUCCCGUAGGUCCAGCUGGCAGCUAGCCUCGCAACCAAUCUUUUUAACCAGGUUGACCUCGGAUCAGGUAGGGAUACCCGCUGAACUUAAGC
rnacentral:misc_RNA from 1 species